rnacentral:tRNA from 2 species
GCCGGCGUGGCGGAAUAGGUAGACGCACAGGACUUAAAAUCCUGCGGGACAUAAAUCUCAUACCGGUUCGACCCCGGUCGCCGGCAGCA